rnacentral:rRNA from 1 species
UUGUUGGUAAGGUAAAAGCUUACCAAGGCUUCGAUCAGUAGCUGGUCUGAGAGGACGACCAGCCACACUGGGACUGAGACACGGCCCAGACUCCUACGGGAGGCAGCAGUGGGGAAUUUUGGACAAUGGGGGCAACCCUGAUCCAGCCAUGCCGCGUGAGUGAAGAAGGCCUUCGGGUUGUAAAGCUCUUUCAGCCGGAACGAAACGGUUACGGAUAACACCCGUGACUACUGACGGUACCGGAAGAAGAAGCACCGGCUAACUACGUGCCAGCAGCCGCGGUAAUACGUAGGGUGCGAGCGUUAAUCGGAAUUACUGGGCGUAAAGCGUGCGCAGGUGGUUUUGUAAGUCAGAUGUGAAAGCCCCGGGCUCAACCUGGGAACUGCGUUUGAAACUACAAGACUAGAGUGUGGCAGAGGGGGGUGGAAUUCCGCGUGUAGCAGUGAAAUGCGUAGAGAUGUGGAGGAACACCGAUGGCGAAGGCAGCCCCCUGGGUCAACACUGACGCUCAGGCACGAAAGCAUGGGGAGCAAACAGGAUUAGAUACCCUGGUAGUCCAUGCCCUAAACGAUGUCAACUAGUUGUCGGGCCUUUACGGGCUUGGUAACGUAGCUAACGCGUGAAGUUGACCGCCUGGGGAGUACGAUCGCAAGAUUAAAACUCAAAUGAAUUGACGGGGACCCGCACAAGCGGUGGAUUAUGUGGAUUAAUUCGAUGCAACGCGAAAAACCUUACCUACCCUUGACAUGUAUCGAAGCCCGCAGAAAAGCGGGGGUGCCCGAAAGGGAACGAUAACACAGGUGCUGCAUGGCUGUCGUCAGCUCGUGUCGUGAGAUGUUGGGUUAAGUCCCGCAACGAGCGCAACCCUUGUCAUUAAUUGCCAUCAUUUAGUUGGGCACUUUAAUGAGACCGCCGG